rnacentral:miRNA from 1 species
AAUUUCUUCAAGCCGAAGGUCU